UCUCAGCUGCCUGUCACCUUGUCUUCCAUAUGGAUGUGGCUAUCUCAGAAGAAUCUCCAUCCUUAAACCUCCUUUUGUGCUGGAUACUGAAAAAGGCAUUGUCAGGCCUAAAAAGGACCUAGACAAAAUCCUCACUGUUUCAAUUCAGAACUCUGUUUAAUCAGUCCCUGGAGACAAUGUAGUGGGUGUUAGGCAGGACAAUAGUAUCUUUUUAAACCUUGUGGCCUUCAGGAAGACAAAGGGCUUGAAUUUUAUGGGCUUACAACUUCAAUUAGAAUAGUGCCAAUGUGCAUGGGAGAUUAUCAAAUUUGUAUCAUAAAACCCCUUUCUAACAAAUGAUUGGUAGGGAGGGAGCCCCAACAUUGUAAGACAUAUACUGGGACCUGUAGGAGCUUCUCUGUUAGAUUUGGCCGAGCAGAUGUGAAAGAAAAAGAGGAAGGGAUUUCUAAGGAAGGCCUGGGUUGGGAUUUGUAGCUGGCUGUGAGCUUGGCUCUUCCAUGCUCUUCCUGCAUGAAUGGGAGAAAGUUUAGAAGAGACCUAUUCAGCAGAUCUUGGACCCUGUGGAGUGGGAAGGGUCUAUAAAUGUGAAAUCUGAAGAAAAAAGGGAUGGGGUCUGUAGGGAGGCUGAUUUAACAAGGGUGAGGGGAAAGUGUACUCACAUCCAGAUUCAUCAUGGUCCUAAAUGGUGAGCCAAAUUUGAGUCACAGCAGGAUGGACCCAGUGAGCCAACUGUGCUCUGGACAGGAAGGGGACAGUGGCACCAGCAGGCAUGAUAUACAAACUGUUAGUCUUUUAUAUUCUUUUGUCAUUGGCCAGAAAGUCCUUUCUUCAGAAAUAAAAGACCCCAUGGAAAGAGAAAAAUGC
rnacentral:lncRNA from 1 species